rnacentral:rRNA from 1 species
CUACGGGACGCACCAGUGAGGAAUAUUGCACAAUGGGGGGAACCCUGAUGCAGCAACGCCGCGUGGAGGAUGACGCAUUUCGGUGUGUAAACUCCUUUUAUAUGUCAAGAAAAUGACGGUAGCAUAUGAAUAAGCACCGGCUAACUCCGUGCCAGCAGCCGCGGUAAUACGGAGGGUGCAAGCGUUACUCGGAAUCACUGGGCGUAAAGGACGCGCAGGCGGGUUGGAAAGUCAGGUGUGAAAUCCGACAGCUUAACUGUAGAACUGCACUUGAAACUUCUAAUCUAGAGUAUGGGAGGGGGAGAUGGAAUUAGUGGUGUAGGGGUAAAAUCCGUAGAUAUCACUAGGAAUACCUAAAGCGAAGGCGAUCUCCUGGAACAUUACUGACGCUAAGGCGUGAAAGCGUGGGGAGCAAACAGGAUUAGAUACCCGGGUAGUC